rnacentral:rRNA from 1 species
GACAGCAGUAGCCGCGGGAAUACAGAGGGUGCGAGCGUUAAUCGGAUUUACUGGGCGUAAAGCGUGCGUAGGCGGCUUCUUAAGUCGGAUGUGAAAUCCCUGAGCUUAACUUAGGAAUUGCAUUCGAUACUGGGAAGCUAGAGUAUGGGAGAGGAUGGUAGAAUUCCAGGUGUAGCGGUGAAAUGCGUAGAGAUCUGGAGGAAUACCGAUGGCGAAGGCAGCCAUCUGGCCUAAUACUGACGCUGAGGUACGAAAGCAUGGGGAGCAAACAGGAUUAGAUACCCCUGUAGUCCCUGUCUCUUAUAC